UACGGAGGGUGCAAGCGUUGUCCGGAUUUAUUGGGUUUAAAGGGUGCGUAGGUGGCCCUGUAAGUCCGUGGUGAAAGCCUCUCGCUUAACGAGAGAACUGCCAUGGAUACUGCAGGGCUUGAGUCCAGACGAGGUUGGCGGAAUGGAUGGUGUAGCGGUGAAAUGCAUAGAUACCAUCCAGAACCCCGAUUGCGUAGGCAGCUGACUGGGCUGGUACUGACACUGAGGCACGAAAGCGUGGGGAGCGAACAGG
rnacentral:rRNA from 1 species